UUCAGCCUUAGCAUAGUCAGUAUCUGUUAAAGGACCAGCUGGGAAAGGAGUGAUCUCGACAAUAAGGUGUGGCGUAGGGAGCUCAUCAAACAAUGCUCGAACGUUGUUGCAACAGACACUUUCUCCAUGAGCACUUUCCCUCCUAAUCUGACAACCCUUGUGAGAAGUGGCAUCUCUGAAGUGGUCAUCAUCUGAUAGCAAGGAAGCAAUGGACUUGAGAAGGCGCUUUCCUUCAGGUUUGGACGGUACCCUGUAAUUUCGACGUAAGGUCCCCUUGGUGGUAGGAUGCCAUUUGCUCACUAAUUUCCUUCUGUUAGUAGCUUCCUUCUCUGGUUUGCUUUGCAACUCUUCAAACCAUUUGGCAAAACCCAAUUCAGCAUUGCCAUCGUUCUCCAAAUCUGAAACAAGAGGAUUAGAAGGAGAUCCAGCUAAACCAGCUUUCAAAAGAGCAUAAAAUACACAAACUCUACCAGCCCACAAGACAGGAGCUUCAAGCAAAGUAGCAUGAAUGGUUUUUGACCCAGUUUUGGCACUAGAAACACUCAAUGAGCUCCUUUUGUUACCCAAAUAGAACCUGUAAUCAAGACUGGGUAAAAAAGAUUUGGGUAACAAAGGAGAGGUGAAAAAGGUCAGAUUUUUAAAGAACAAACUGUUUCUUGAAAUGGGUUGAGAUGAAAAUGUGAAAGAAUUGAUUGUAGUUUGUAGAAUCAUUGCUUUGAUUGGAUUUGAAAAGUGAAUUGAAG
rnacentral:misc_RNA from 1 species